GCUAGCCACUGCUUCCUCCCAGGGAUCUCGUGCCUCUGAUAGUGGAAGUGCAAAUCUCAAUUAUCAAUAAUUCAGCAUAAGCAUGCAUAAAUUCUCAUCCAUGGAUCAACAUCCAUAUCAGCCAUCCGGCUCACGGUUCAGUCCAGAACCAGCCAAUAUUCAUAUUAUACACAGCCUUUCCGGCUCAUGGUUAAAUCCAUAACCAGCCGUUUCAUUAGCAAUUACAGCCUUUCGGCCCAUGGCUUAACAAGCACUUCCACCACCAUCCUCCGCAUCUCACAUAAUCAUCUUGAUCCUCAUUGAUCAUUCAUUUUUCCCUUGCUUCACUCGCAAGUUACCUCAUUCACUAGCCCCUUUUUAAUAGCUAGGCAUGUCAUAAUGAUUUAAGACAUAAAUGGUGAGAUCGGAGGCUUAGAAGUAUGAGAUUUGGCUUUUAAAACUCAAAAAUCAACUUUGGGAUGAAAACAGGGCCACGCGUACGCGCACUCCACGCGCACGCGUGGAUGGCCUCAAAAACUCAUCGACGCGCAAGCGUCAUGCACGCUAACGCGUGGAUUAAAGAUUUGCCAAUCGACGCGCACGCGCCAACCACGCGUACGCGCGGGUGUUCUCGUGCCCCAGGCACAACACUGGCACAGUUCUGGCAUAACUCUCUGGAAAAUGGCUGGGCAUUGGGUGCAGCACAAUCGGCGCGCCCGCGCACAUCACGCGCACGCGUGGAUGGCGCUUUCUGGAAGAUCGGCGCGUACGCGCCAGGUACGCCCACGCGCAAGGGGUCAUUCUGCUAAAAAUUUUCUAAGUUAAAAGCUGCAGAAUUCACAGAUUUAAACCCCAAUCUUCCAACGGACAUAACUUCCUCAUUUUAAAUCGUCUUUCACCCGUUCUUUGAACGGCAUGGACAUCCCGGAUCCAAUUUCAUUUCUAAACAGAUUUGGUACAAAACGGAGAUCCGUAGUCCAAGUUAUGUCCCGCCAAAGUGUGCCCAAAAACCAUAUUUUCAUACAAAACCACAAAGUGCCAAUUUCAAAACAAGCCAUUUCCAACUCUUUUCAAAACCAAUCAAAACAUGCCAAGUUCAUCCCGUUUCUUUGAAAUCAAUCAAAAUAUAUCAAAUUCAACAUCAAGCCUCCUCAACUCACACAUUGACACAUUACCACAAAUUACCAAAAUCACUAUCUCAUCAUUUUACCCUACUUCACCCAAGUGGCUCAAACUCAAACACAUUGACAUAUCAUAUACUAUUCCUCAUGCCAAUUCUCAACAACACCAAUUCCAAUAAAUUAUUAUUGUACACAAUCAACAUCAUACUCACCAUCAACAUGGUUCAACCCACAAUUCAACCAUAACCAGUCAUCAAGUAUAUAUAUCACAACAUGCAUAUUUCUCAUACAUCAUACCACUAAGGCAUUAAUAAUCAUCAUCACAUAUAUGACCACAUCAUAUAUCUCAAUCAUUCAACAACAUCAACAAUUCAAUGCCUAUCUUAGGGCCUCUAGCCUAAGUAUUUCCUACCACAUUACAUAUUAGAUACGGGAAACCGAAACCAUACCUUAGCCGAUUUUCCCAAGCUCCCCCGGAGCACUUCCAAACCACUUAUCCACAAGCUCUCAAGGCCUCAACACCUCCAAGAACAGAUUUUUCACCACCAAACCCUUUCCAAGCUUUUCAAAGUCACCAAUCAAGCUCCAAUACCCACACAUACACAACCUAAGCCACAACCAUCAUACUCAUACACAACAUCUCAAAACCCAAACAUCAUAGAACAACAAAAUCACACUAGGGUUGAGAAUCUUACCACACCCAAGGUCCAAGGAGACAAGAUUAACCUUCUCCUUCAAGAGAGUUGGGUCCUAUAACAUCAAAGAACCCAAAAUCUCAACAUUUUACCCAUGAAACUCGAAAAUAAGGGCUGGAAUUUCGAACAGAAACACGUGGCUUACCUCAAGAUUAGUUGUAUGGGUUUUGUAGAGCUCUCCGCGGUGAACGCGUGGCCGCAAACGGAGCGGCAAUCGGAGCUCUAGAUCAAAAGUUAUGGUGGUUUGAAGAUCAAGUGAGAGAUAGAGGUUUGAGAGAGUGUUCUUCCCCCAUUUCCUCUCUUUUUCAGCGUGUUUGGUGUUGUGUGAGGAGAGAGAGAGUGCUGAAAACUAGGGUUUUGGUUUAGUUAUGUUGGGCCAAGGGCCCACUUUGGGUCCGGUUGGACCGGUUUGGCCCGUUCGGUCCAAUCUUGGUCCGAUUUCCAUAAAAUUGGUACCGAAAUUCUCGUCUCAAUUUCCUCUAUCAUAUUAAGCCAUAAAAAUAUCAUUUUAGGCUUUCUAGAAUAAAUUCUCAUUUAUGGGUUAAUUAGCCGUUAA
rnacentral:lncRNA from 1 species